rnacentral:rRNA from 1 species
GAUGAACGCUAGCGGCAGGCCUAACACAUGCAAGUCGAGGGGUAGUUACUUUCGGGUAAUGAGACCGGCGCACGGGUGCGUAACGCGUAUGCAAUCUACCUUUUACAGGGGAAUAGCCCAGAGAAAUUUGGAUUAAUGCCCCAUAGUAUGUAUGAAUCGCAUGGUUUAUACAUUAAAGUUCCAACGGUAAAAGAUGAGCAUGCGUCCCAUUAGUUAGUUGGUAAGGUAACGGCUUACCAAGACGAUGAUGGGUAGGGGUCCUGAGAGGGAGAUCCCCCACACUGGUGCUGAGACACGGACCAGACUCCUACGGGAGGCAGCAGUGAGGAAUAUUGGACAAUGGGCGCAAGCCUGAUCCAGCCAUGCCGCGUGCAGGAAGAAGCAUCUAUGGUGUGUAAACUGCUUUUGUACGGGAAGAAACACUCCUUCGUGAAGGAGCUUGACGGUACCGUAAGAAUAAGGAUCGGCUAACUCCGUGCCAGCAGCCGCGGUAAAGUCUGU